AAACUUUCAACAACGGAUCUCUUGGUUCUCGCAUCGAUGAAGAACGCAGCGAAACGCGAUAGUUAAUGUGAAUUGCAGAAUUCAGUGAAUCAUCGAGUCUUUGAACGCACAUUGCGCCCUUUGGUAUUCCGAAGGGCACGUCCGUUUGAGCGUCAUA
rnacentral:rRNA from 1 species